CCUACGGGUGGCAGCAGUGGGGAAUAUUGGACAAUGGGGGCAACCCUGAUCCAGCCAUGCCGCGUGUGUGAAGAAGGCCCUCGGGUUGUAAAGCACUUUCAGUGAGGAAGAACGCCUGGUGGUUAAUACCCAUCAGGAAAGACAUCACUCACAGAAGAAGCACCGGCUAACUCCGUGCCAGCAGCCGCGGUAAUACGGAGGGUGCGAGCGUUAAUCGGAAUUACUGGGCGUAAAGCGCGCGUAGGUGGCUUGAUAAGCCGGUUGUGAAAGCCCCGGGCUCAACCUGGGAACGGCAUCCGGAACUGUCAAGCUAGAGUGCAGGAGAGGAAGGUAGAAUUCCCGGUGUAGCGGUGAAAUGCGUAGAGAUCGGGAGGAAUACCAGUGGCGAAGGAGGCCUUCUGGACUGACACUGACACUGAGGUGCGAAAGCGUGGGUAGCAAACAGGAUUAGAUACCCUGGUAGUC
rnacentral:rRNA from 1 species